CAGUAGCCGCGGUAAUACGAAGGGGGCUAGCGUUGUUCGGAAUUACUGGGCGUAAAGCGCACGUAGGCGGAUUUUUAAGUCAGGGGUGAAAUCCCGAGGCUCAACCUCGGAACUGCCUUUGAUACUGGAGAUCUUGAGUUCGGAAGAGGUUGGUGGAACAGCUAGUGUAGAGGUGAAAUUCGUAGAUAUUAGCUAGAACACCAGUGGCGAAGGCGGCCAACUGGUCCGAUACUGACGCUGAGGUGCGAAAGCGUGGGGAGCAAACAGGAUUAGAUACCCCCGUAGUCCCUGUCUCUUAUAC
rnacentral:rRNA from 1 species